GGUGAGAAGACAGCGAAAUGGCGCCUCCGGCCCCCGGCCCGGCCUCUGGCGGCUCCGGGGAGGUAGACGAGCUGUUCGACGUGAAGAACGCCUUCUACAUCGGCAGCUACCAGCAGUGCAUAAAUGAGGCGCAGCGGGUGAAGCUGUCAAGCCCAGAGAGAGACGUGGAGAGGGACGUCUUCCUGUAUAGAGCGUACCUGGCGCAGUGUACUGCAGUGGAGGUGGCCCAUGCUGGGCUGAGGGGUCCCUGGUGGGGCAGGGGCUUCCUGUCUGGGGCUCUCCCUGCCAAGCUGAAGACAUGGAAGGAAAUCCUCUGGGGUGGACGGGUGCAGCUGACGCCUCGUCCCUACUGCAGAGGAAGUUCGGUGUGGUCCUGGAUGAGAUCAAGCCCUCCUCGGCCCCUGAGCUCCAGGCCGUGCGCAUGUUUGCUGACUACCUCGCCCACGAGAGUCGGAGGUGAGGCCCCAGAGAAUGGGUUGGCCUGAGGCGUGGGGCCAUCUUCAAGGCCUGUUGGUUAUGAACCUGGGUGGGUGGGGGCAUGGUGUGCAGCGCACAGCAUCCCUCAGAUUAGGCGCCUCUCCCAUCUGCUCCCCUGCUGCUUUGUGCCUCAGUUUCCCUCACCUGCACAGCAGUGUGGGGCUGGUGAUGGAUCCUGCUUCAAAGGGGAGGGUCAGAGACAGUGCUGUGUGUGCACACGCCCUCAUGGAUCACAAGGCACUCUCUGAACCUAGAACUGAAAAUAUCAAUUACCGAGCAGCCCUCUGCAACACCCAGAGCCCCAAGACAGCCCAGGGCGCAGCGGGGGCAGGGCCCUCCCAUCAGUUUUCUUAUUUAUUUAUUUAGAGACGGAGUCUCACUCUGUCACCAGGCUG
rnacentral:sRNA from 1 species